AAAGCUGCCACUGCUUCUUAGAAUACGUGUUUCACUUCCGUGUUAUGUCCAACUCCUCUGAAAGAAGAAUCAACCAAUUUUUUAUAAAUAUCCGGUGUUCCUUAUACUUUAAAUAAGGGUAAUAUAAACCCGAGUUUGAAUUUCUUUUGCGUUUUGUCCGGGCUAGCCAAAUUUGACAUUAAUCGGGGUGAAAAAUAUUCAUAGGAUCAAACCACAUCUAACGGAGGCGCCAAAUGUGUUGCACAUGAUGCGUUAUAUGUAGGGCUCCGUGUUAAUUUUCGGAUAAAUCCCAAAAAGAAACGAUAAACACUCGCCGAUAAAAUUUUUGACAAUACCGAUUUAUCCAAUAAACUCCGAUUUCAACGGCCAAUAUGACCUUGUUCCGUUCUUUAUCGAAAGCCUUUCAAUAAAGGCCAUAUUCUAAGCGGUCAAUGAUACAUCGGCCGGUUUGGCUGAUAUAAACUUUACCUCACGUCAACAGUAUCUCGUAGACCGCACCCAUCGCACAUUUAAUAAAAGGCUUGUCGCCCUCGGGAGCGCGAGACGACAUAUUGAUAUACAGCCCCUUGGCGGCACUCAAGCGCCAGGGGACCUAAUCGAGCGCGGAAAGUCUGCUGUCGGAAAGCAUGGCAUGCUCACAUGACGCAUUCCGUGUCAGGCUGUACGAAGCAUGCUACAUACACUCUCACGUAGCGGUAAAUUCAGAGCACCAACAGCUGAAAAAGGACUCACCUGUGUUUAGGCGCGGAAGCGGAAGUGAAACACGUAUUCUAAGAAGCAGUGGCAGCUUUAUUGCACAUUCACAAAUCAUCAUUAGCUUUCUGUAGCGCGUCAACAUAAAUUUUAGGCAAGCAAUAUGGGAAGGAAACGAAAGCUUUCCAGCGACUACGUAAUGAAGUUUCGUGAUUUUGAAGAGUCAAUGCCAUCUGAAGGAGUCAUUGUUUGCAAGUUUUGUCGUGUGACAGUUAGCAUUGCCACUGGCAAGGGCGCCUUGAGAAUUGCGGAGCAUCUACAAUCAUAACGCCAUGCCCAGCUGAAGAAGCCGCGCCUAGACACAGGCAACUCGUCACAGCAAAGCUCGCUAGAAGAAUGCAUCACAUGGGCCCGAUCCAAUAGACAAGACGCGGAUGACGUCCCGCACCAGUUUUGCCGUGCACUCUGUCAUGCUGGGACUCCAUUGCACCAGGCUGAUGGACCUCUUGGCAGCAUCUUUCGAAGCAAGUGUCCGGUUGCAGUGCACCUGAUCUUUGUUGGAGUCUUGGCCCUGCCUUGUACAGCGUCCUCGAAUAUGGCAACAACCAUACAAAGCACGCGAGUCCCUUCGAGAACACUGAGUAUUCCCGUACGUGAGGGUGACAUUCCUCCAGAAGCAAUGCAGUUCAUUGUGCCCUACAUGAACACCUGGCCGACUCCUGCUGACUGCUGUGCUAACGGCGGCACCUGCGUUCACGGAGAAAACGGUGAACAGUCUUGUCAUGCGUUCGAGUGCCUUCUGAGGUACGCAGUGCAUGGUUCUGCUUUGCGGUGGCCGGACGGCAUUAUUUAGACCACGAGGCUUCCCCUCCACGAUGAAUGACAGCAACUUGCGCGUGCGCAAUGCCUGAAUUCAACGUCCGCGUCGUAAAAGCCCAGAUGCAUGCACA